rnacentral:lncRNA from 1 species
CCCAGGGGGUUGGCUCCACGGAAGAUGCUGCUCAGGUCCUUCUGGGGCAUGGGGGGCAGGGACUGGAUAUAUGUCCGGGCCUGGGGGCACACAAGAACACCUGGGGAGGCUGCUCACUCUCUGCCUCCCUGGCCCCAAACUGGGGCUUCUCUUGGCAAGCCCCCAGACUCAUUCACUCCAACAGGCCAGGACAAGGGCACAGGCAGACCAGUGACCCCCUCCAUAUAGGAUCUGGUGGUUCUAGCUCCUCAGUUGGCCCCUAAUGCCUGCAGGAGCUGGGUCCAAGUACACUCCCUCCACCCAGCCCACCCCCACUGCCCUGGCCAGGCACUGCUUGCUGGGGUCCCCCAGCCCACCCCCACUGCCCUGGCCAGGCACUGCUUGCUGGGCCCCCAGCCCACCCCCACUGCCCUGGCCAGGCACUGCUUGCUGGGGUCAUGGCUUUGCACUCACUGUCCCUGGUGUCAGGAAUGUCUUCCCCCUUCUCCUGUUUCCCCUGCAGGGAUUGGGCACCUGCCCUAGGCUCUAUCCCACCACAUCCCAUGUUCCCCAUAUGGUCCCCGCAUUUCCACACCACCCUCUCCCCCAGAGAGCCUGGGGGCUCAGCCAGGAGAGGGAGCUGCUGGCUGGCGGGCACCAACUCACGUGUUCUGAGGAGAUUUUUGCCAGAACCUCAGGGCUGGGUGUGCCCACCACUUCCAUGAUGCGCUUCAGCUGGUCAAUGUCUGUGUCACUCAGGAAACACCCACGGUAGCAUAGCAUGGGGGGCAGAGGAGGCAAGACCCGCCAGAAGGGGCCAGCGCUGGUCCCUACCCUACAGGAGGGGCCCUGUUUGACCCUGCUCCCCAACCUGGGCCAAGGAUACAGUCGCUUCCCGGGAAGAGGGCCUUGCCCUGGAGCAGCUCAGCCAUGAUGCAGCCCACGGACCAGAUAUCCACUGUGCGAGGGCGAGGGGACCUCCAUCAGUGUGCCCACCCCACGUCCCUCCUCCAGGAGACCCACAGUCACAUCCAGACCCCAAGAUGGGCAGACCCCCUCCUCUGCCAUACCCAACCCCCCUAGGCAGGGGGAGGUCCAUAGCUGCACAGCCAGAGGAGGCCAGCACCCAUCAUGCUCUAGCGGCCUCUGAAGGGCUACUUUUGAAUGUGGGUCCCACAUUCUUGGGGACCUUGCCUGCCCCCUAAGACCUGGCAUGCAGAGCCAGUCGAGGGCCAGACGAGGCCCUUGGCCUUCGUCCCCCCAAGGCCUUCCCCCUGCACCUGUUUGGUUGUAAUGCAUCCAGUUGAGCAUGAUCUCAGGUGCCCGGUACCAGCGCGUGGCCACAUAGCCGGUCAUCUCCUCGUCCGCCUGGCGCGCCAGCCCAAAAUCCAGGAUCUGGGGCGACCACGUGGUGUUCUCAAGCUCCGCACGGGCUCCGCCGCCGCCCUGCCCACCCCUGCCCACGGGCCUCACCCUGAGCUCACAGUCCUCGUUCACAGCCACGUUGCUGGGCUUCAGGUCCUGCAGGUCACGCGGAGCGUGAGCACAGGAGGCUGGGACGGAGCCCUGCUGGACCCGACCCUCACCCUGCGGUCGCA